UCUUGGCAUAUUUUUAAUGAAUUAAAAAAUCUUGCUGACAGAAACAACACACAAAAACCAACUCACGUCGUGGCAGAGUUAGGAGCUCAAUUGAUUAACGGGAACUCCAUUUUUUCCCACCAUUCGAAUUGAACCUUGUUGGCCAAACUGAAUCCAUAUAUAUAUAUACACACACACACAUAUUGUUUCGACAGGGCAAACUGAACCUAUCUCUCACCCUGUCUAUAGAGAUCUAUAUAUAUUGCUUAUCUCUCUCAUUCUCCCUCUGUUUAUAUAUAUAUAUAUAUAUAUAUAUAUUGGACAUACUUGUGAUUGCUAAGGAAUAAUCAAUCAAUCGAAGAGAGAGAACUGAGAAAUCGAGUAGUGUGAAAUUCCCUUUCCUAAUUACUCAGUUCGAGUCUAAUUACAGGGCAGCAAGAAUAAGAGAUAUUGUGGUUGCGAAUGGAUUAACUGAAACUGAGUGGUCAAUUUCAGAGUUAGGUGAAAAGGAUUGUGGUGGCAGUGAUGGGCACAAGAGGAAGACCCACUUUGUUAGGUCUCUUAAUGGAGUUAUGAAGAGAUUGGGCACCCACGGAGAAGACUGAACAGCUAUACCCAACCGAAAAAGAAAUCCAGAUGUUUCUACUAUGGCGACGCCAUCCACCACUUGAUCACUCCAAAAUUCAAAACGGAGGCGUACAACGUCGGCAACCUAGAAAAAGAAGAUGAUGUGAUUGAAGAGGCUGAUUCGUACCAAAGUGAGUAUGGAUUUGAGCAGGUUCCAUGGAAGAUGAUGAUGGUCUCUCUUAGAUGUUGCUUCUUUGUGGUUCUUUUUCUCCUGCCAUGGACACCUUUUCUUGAGGUACAGGAUACUAUAUAUAUAUAUAUAUAUAUAUAUAUAUAUAUAUAUAUAUAUAAGGGUAUAUAUAAUAGAGAAUGGGGAGGCUGAAAUGAUUUGCCGUAAUUUUUUUUUGCUGAAAUGAUUUGCCGUAAUUUUUUUUUUUUCUGUUCUUUUCUUUUCUUGUGCAGGUACAGGAUACUAUAUAUAUAUAUAUAUAUAUUUCAAAAUAUAAAAGGGUAUAAUAGUCAAUUUAUUAAAAUACUUUCCUUUCCUUUCUUUUCCCAAAUAUGAUUAUUAUACUUCCCUUUCUUUUCCUUCAUUAACCAACCAAACACGAUAGGGGUUAAAACUAUCCUUCCCUUCCAUUUCCCUCAUAACUAAUAUUAUCCUCCUCCUUCAAAUCCACCGUACCAAACAUACCCUUAAGGUAUAAGUUUAAAACGGUGUAGUUUUUUAUAAGGGUAAAUUGGUCUUUUACAUUUUUUAGCAUCAGAAGUAAACCUGGUAAGGUUAAAUGCAAAAAAAACAUAGUUCAUUUUUUUUUUUAGUAGUUCAGGAGAAUUUCUUGCAUUUUAUCCUAAAUUAUACAAUAUAUCAUGUCUAAUAUUUAAUUAUUUUCGUAUUUAGCUUUCCCUUUUGAUAAAAAAUCAAAAUCAAAAUUAGUUUUUUAGAUCUUCAUCUUCCUCUGCUUCCUCUAAUUUUCUCUCGUUUUCUCUGAUCUUAAAGAAUAUAAAAUUAAUUUUGACUUCUACUUUACCUACCUUAUUUUUUGAACCAAAAUCAAAUAUGAGUUGGGGUUCAAAAUUUUAUAGAUAAAAAUUUCAGACUUAAAAUUAGUGUAUGAAUGACUGAGCUCAUUGCACUUCUUGGGUCAACUAAGUUAGCUUUUUACACAAUUUAAAAAUAAAUAAACAAACAAACUUAAAAAGUUUUGUUUUUUUAUUUUACUAUGUGAAUUUUUAAUCGAAAGUAUAAAGUUAAAAGAGUUGAAAAUUGAGUGCCAUGUACAAGAACAACUAUAUAGAAUAAGAGAAUUUAAUUUUAUUCCUUGAA